rnacentral:rRNA from 1 species
AACGAACGCUGGCGGCAUGCUUUACACAUGCAAGUCGAACGGCAGCACGGGGCAACCUGGUGGCGAGUGGCGAACGGGUGAGUAAUACAUCGGAACGUGCCCAAUCGUGGGGGAUAACGUAGCGAAAGUUACGCUAAUACCGCAUACGAUCUACGGAUGAAAGCGGGGGAUCGCAAGACCUCGCGCGAAUGGAGCGGCCGAUGUCAGAUUAGGUAGUUGGUGGGGUAAAGGCUCACCAAGCCAACGAUCUGUAGCUGGUCUGAGAGGACGACCAGCCACACUGGAACUGAGACACGGUCCCGACUCCUACGGGGGGCAGCAGUGAGGAAUAUUGGGCAAUGGGCGGAAGCCUGACCCAGCAACGCCGCGUGGAGGAAGACGGCCUUCGGGUUGUAACUCUUUACGGGGAGAGGAAGGACGGUACCCGACGAAUAAGUCACGGC